rnacentral:rRNA from 1 species
UGAACGCUAGCGGCAGGCUUAAUACAUGCAAGUCGUGGGGCAGCAGGGGUAGCAAUACUCGCUGGCGACCGGCAAACGGGUGCGGAACACGUACACAACCUUCCUUCUAGUGGGGAAUAGCCCAGGGAAACUUGGAUUAAUACCCCGUAACAUAUUGAAGUGGCAUCACUUUAAUAUUAUAGCUCCGGCGCUAGAUGAUGGGUGUGCGGCUGAUUAGAUAGUUGGCAGGGUAACGGCCUACCAAGUCUACGAUCAGUAGCUGAUGUGAGAGCAUGAUCAGCCACACGGGCACUGAGACACGGGCCCGACUCCUACGGGAGGCAGCAGUAAGGAAUAUUGGUCAAUGGACGCAAGUCUGAACCAGCCAUGCCGCGUGAAGGAUGAAGGUCCUCUGGAUUGUAAACUUCUUUUAUAUGGGACGAAAAAAGGUCAUUCUUGAUCACUUGACGGUACCAUUUGAAUAAGCACCGGCUAACUCCGUG